rnacentral:rRNA from 1 species
GAUGAACGCUAGCGGCAGGCCUAAUACAUGCAAGUUGAACGGACUUUGGAUUUCGGUCCAAGGUUAGUGGCGCACGGGUGCGUAACGCGUACACAACAUACCCUUAACUGGGGGAUAGCGGUGGGAAACUGCCAGUAAUACCCCAUACCCCUGCGAGGUGGCAUUACUUUGCAAGGAAAGUUACGGCGGUUAGGGAUUGGUGUGCGUCCGAUUAGCUAGUUGGCGGGGUAACGGCCCACCAAGGCGACGAUCGGUAGGGGGUGUGAGAGCAUGGCCCCCCACCACGGGUACGUGAGACACGGACCC